CGGCGUGCCUAACACAUGCAAGUCGAGCGAGGAGAUCCUUCGGGAUGAUCCUAGCGGCGGACGGGUGAGUAACACGUGGGCAACCUGCCUCAUAGAGAGGAAUAGCCUUCCGAAAGGGAGAUUAAUACCUCAUAACAUUGCAGUUUCGCAUGGAACAGCAAUUAAAGGAGCAAUCCGCUAUGAGAUGGGCCCGCGGCGCAUUAGCUAGUUGGUGAGGUAACGGCUCACCAAGGCGACGAUGCGUAGCCGACCUGAGAGGGUGAUCGGCCACAUUGGGACUGAGACACGGCCCAGACUCCUACGGGAGGCAGCAGUGGGGAAUAUUGCACAAUGGGGGAAACCCUGAUGCCAGCAACGCCGCGUGAGUGAUGACGGCCUUCGGGUUGUAAAGCUCUGUCUUCAGGGACGAUAAUGACGGUACCUGAGGAGGAAGCCACGGCUAACUACGUGCCAGCCGCCGC
rnacentral:rRNA from 1 species